UAAUUACUUCCUCCGUUUCAUAAUUUUUGUCGAAAUCUUACAUGUAUCUAGACACCUUUUAGGAAUAGAUACAUCCAUUUUUGGACAAAUUUGAGACAAGAAUUAUGAAACGGAGGGAGUAUAUC
rnacentral:pre_miRNA from 1 species